rnacentral:rRNA from 1 species
CCUACGGGUGGCAGCAGUGAGGAAUAUUGGUCAAUGGCCGGAAGCCUGAACCAGCCAAGCCGCGUGAAGGACGAAUGCGCUAAGGAUUGUAAACUUCUUUUGUAAAGGGACAAAAUGAGGCUCGAGUGCCUGUCCGAGGGUACUUGAUGAAAAAGGAUCGGCUAACUCCGUGCCAGCAGCCGCGGUAAUACGGAGGAUCCGAGCGUUAUCCGGAUUUAUUGGGUUUAAAGGGAGCGUAGGUGGGCUGUUAAGUCAGUGGUGAAAGUCUGGGGCUCAACCGCCGGAGUGCCGUUGAAACUGGCUGUCUUGAGAUGUGGUGAGGUAGGCGGAAUGCGCAGUGUAGCGGGGAAAUGCUUAGAUAUCACGCAGAACUCCGAUUGCGAAGGCAGCCUACCAG